GAGAGCCGUAUGCGGUGACAAGUCGCUUGUACGGUUCGGGAAGGGGCGGGUUACUUUGCUAAUCCGCCUAUUUCAU
rfam:Peptococcaceae bacterium BRH_c23 BRHa_1000271, whole genome shotgun sequence.